rnacentral:rRNA from 1 species
GAUGAACGCUAGCGGCAGGCCUAACACAUGCAAGUCGAGGGGUAGAAGGAGCUUGCUCCUUUGAGACCGGCGCACGGGUGCGUAACGCGUAUGCAAUCUACCUUGUACAGGGGAAUAGCCCAGAGAAAUUUGGAUUAAUGCCCCAUAGUAUAUAACCUUCGCAUGUUGGUUAUAUUAAAGUUCCAACGGUACAAGAUGAGCAUGCGUCCCAUUAGUUAGUUGGUAAGGUAACGGCUUACCAAGACGAUGAUGGGUAGGGGUCCUGAGAGGGAGAUCCCCCACACUGGUACUGAGACACGGACCAGACUCCUACGGGAGGCAGCAGUGAGGAAUAUUGGUCAAUGGUCGCAAGACUGAACCAGCCAUGCCGCGUGCAGGAAGACGGUCCUAUGGAUUGUAAACUGCUUUUACAGGAAGAAACCCUCCCACGUGUGGGAGCUUGACGGUACUGUAGGAAUAAGGAUCGGCUAACUCCGUG